UUCAUGGCAACAGAAUCCACAACAACAAUGACUUUGAUCAGUAUCUUCAUCUGGGCACUUGUCAUCUGCACUCAGGAAUCCAGUGGACAGUAUACUGUGACUCAGACUCCAGCAGUGAAAUCUGUUCUCCCUGGAGACACAGUCGCUCUGAGCUGUAAAGUCAGCAGCGCAGUGUACGAUAACAACGAACUAGCCUGGUACCAACAGAAACCUGGAGAAGCUCCCAAACUCCUGAUCUAUUAUGCAAGUACCCUUCAGUCUGGGAUCCCAACUCGUUUCAGUGGCAGUGGAUCUGGGACUGACUUCACUCUGACCAUCAGUGGAGUCCAGGCUGAAGAUGCAGGAGAUUACUACUGUCAGAGUGCACACAGUGGCUAUGUGUUCACACAGUGCUACAAACCCGUACAAAAACCUCCCUCAGCAGGACUGCACAGCAACUGCACUGCUGCAGCUGGGACCUACUGCAGGUGCUGAGGGUGAAGGCAAUGAAACGGGACACGGCCUGUGGAGGAGCUCAACUGCACACUAACACACUGAGCUCAAUAACAACACACAGUUACAUGUAGGUAUGGAUUCAAUAUUAGUCUAUUUAAACAAACUGAUUUUGUUGUGACUACAUGGUCAUCUAGUAAUGUAGUGAUGAUACCAUCUAUUCUAAAUUCUGAAACAUCAUUCAGUUAUUCCAAGAAUUGUAAAAAUGUAACUCAUGUUUUUCAUAUCUGAUUCUCAUAUGAAGAUGUCCAUGAAUCCUGGGCUGGGUUGCACCAGCUGUGUGUAAGUUCUUACUUAGCUUAGUUAUAGUGUAAGUCUUACUAACUUUAAUUUAACACAUUACUACAUUGACACUAGUUGCACCAGGUAAGAUAGUUCUAACACAAGGCUUAGUUGUUGUUUAAAAUGUAUCCAUACCUUUGAGUGGGUGUAAUCUAUUCGUAGAAUCACAUUUCCAGGCGGCUCAGCAGCUGUUGCUGCUUCUCUUUCAUGCUGAUUUUAGUUUUUCGGCGUCAGCAUAUCUUGCGAGGCCGCAUACAUCCUCUUGACAGUUAAGAUAUUGACAUUGAUGCCGUUUUAGAUGAGAGAAUAUUCUGAUCACUGAUUAUGUGUGUG